UACGUAGGUGACAAGCGUUGUCCGGAUUUACUGGGCGUAAAGAGCGCGCAGGCGGUCGUUCAAGUCGAGUGUGAAAGCCCCCGGCUCAACUGGGGAGGGUCAUUCGAUACUGAUCGACUCGAAGGCAGGAGAGGGUAGUGGAAUUCCCGGUGUAGUGGUGAAAUGCGUAGAUAUCGGGAGGAACACCAGUGGCGAAGGCGGCUUUCUGGGCCUUACCUGACGCUGAGACGCGAAAGCGUGGGGAGCGAACCGG
rnacentral:rRNA from 1 species